AACAGUCCAAAUAUGAGACUGAUUCACGUGGGUACCCGCAAGAGCCAGCUGGCCCGCAUACAGAUGGACAGUGUGGUGGCAAUGCUGAAAGCCUUAUACCCAGGCCUGCAGUUUGAAAUCAUUGCUGUGUCCACCACAGGGGACAAGAUUCUUGAUACGGCUCUCUCUAAGAUUGGAGAGUUACCAAGGAGCUGGAACACGCACUGGAGAGGAAUGAAGUGGACCUGGUCGUUCACUCCCUGAAGGACCUGCCCACGGUGCUUCCUCCUGGCUCACCAUUGGAGCCAUUUGCAAGCAGGAGAGCCCCUCUGAUGCUGUUGUCUUUCACCCAAAUUUUGUUGGGCAGACCCUAGAAACCUUGCCAGGGAAGAGCGUGGUGGGAACUAGCUCCCUGCGGAGAGCGGCCCCAGCUGCAGAGAAAGUUCCCACAUCUGGGGUUCAAGAGUAUUCAGGGAAACCUCAACACAAGGCUUUGGAAGUUGGAUGAGCUGCAGGAGUUCAGUGCCAUCAUCCUGGCUGCAGCUGGCCUGCAGGGCAUGGGCUGGCAGAACCAGGUGGGACAGAUCCUGCACCCUGAGGAGUGCAGGUUGGGGGCUCUAGGAGUGGAAGUUCAAGCCAAGGACCAGGACAUCUUGGAUCUGGUGGGUGUGUUGCAUGAUCCUGAGACUCUGCUUCACUGCACUGCUGAACAGGCCUUCCUGAGGCACCUGGAAGAGCAGAGCAUACAACUGUGAAGGAUGGGCAACUCUACCUGACUGGAGGAGUCUGGAGUCUGAAUGGCACAGGUAAGUAACAUGCAAGAGACCAUGCAGGCCACCAUCCAUGUCCCUGCCCAGCAUGAAGAUGGCCUUGAGGAUGAUCCACAGCUGGUGGGCAUCCCUGCCCGGAACAUUCCACAACAAGCCCAGCUGGCUGCUGAGAGCCUGGGCAUCAGCCUGGCCACCUUGCUGCUGAACAAAGGAGCCAAGAACAUCUUGGAUGUUGCACAGCAGCUCAAUGAUGCCCACUAA